UGUGAGUGAUGAUGCAUCUUCCCUGACUCCAACAUGGAGGCAUAAACUGAUUUAAUGAGCCUGACGC
ensembl:snoRNA SNORD57 Small nucleolar RNA SNORD57